CAAACCUAAGGUGGCAAUGAUUCAGCUACAAAUGGCCAACAACGUGUUGUUUUCUCCCUCCUGCAGGGCUGCCGUCUUGUUCAUAACAAGGAAAAUAAAAACUUGUUUUUGUUAUUAUUUUUAAAAAUUUUACGAAAAGAAAAUUUCUUAAAUAUUUAGAAUAACUUAAUUUAAAUUUAACUAGAAUAUAUAUUAAUACUAAAGUAAAAACCGUACAACUUUUGCAACUCCGUUGGCUGAUUUGGUGAUGUGUGUAAUGCAAAAAUGGGCGCCUACACCAUUUCGCCCUGAAGAUAUGUCACAUUGUGUUAUCGAUUCACAUCUAUACUCGAGCCUCUUCCAGAUCAUUGAUGCUUCGUAUAUUUUACUGUUUGUAUGGUGUUUCAUUACAACAAAUCUUUCAGCCGGUAUCACGAUACUAUUCCAUCUAUCGUUGUUUAGUAGCUGUAUGUAGAGGAAGAUAGACAAGAAGCGAAGAAAUAACAGGAUUCCUUUCAUUCUUCGUUCGACGCGGUCCAGACGCACGCGUGUUAUAAAUAACCUAACCAACUUGAUUAAUGAAAACGUAGAGCAAGAAGGCUCAUCGUCCCUGUGUGCGCAGGAUAUGGAAGCUUCGUCUCCCGAAACUAAUCAAUCCGCAACAAACUUGGUUGGCAUUCCUCCUUCUUGCCUCCAGAUGUUCUGUCGUCGUGCUUUUAUCCGCUUUUGAAUAAUCGACUUUUUUUUUUCAAAAGCCUCGAGAGUAACUUCCACCGCACCGCACUAACCAGAGUUAUCUACGAGGCUUUUUUCUCCAAGCCAAGAGAUGCUGCUGCCUUUUAUUUAGAGAAAAGUCAUUGGAUAAAGAGACAUGUACGUAUACGGAGCUGGCAUGUAUUUGUUUUUUUCUAUUCAACAAAAACUAUUCUCAUUUGAUUUAUCGA